GUAGCGUGCAGGAUGACAGGCCCUAUGGGUUGUAAACUGCUUUUAUGUGGGGAUAAAGUGCGUGACGUGUCAUGCAUUGCAGGUACCACAUGAAUAAGGACCGGCUAAUUCCGUGCCAGCAGCCGCGGUAAU
rnacentral:rRNA from 1 species